rnacentral:rRNA from 1 species
AACGAACGCUGGCGGCAUGCCUAACACAUGCAAGUCGAACGAUUGCCUUCGGGUGAUAGUGGCGCACGGGUGCGUAACGCGUGGGAAUCUGCCCUUAGGUUCGGAAUAACAGCUGGAAACGGCUGCUAAUACCGGAUGAUAUCGCGAGAUCAAAGAUUUAUCGCCUGAGGAUGAGCCCGCGUUGGAUUAGGUAGUUGGUGGGGUAAAGGCCUACCGAGCCGACGAUCCAUAGCUGGUCUGAGAGGAUGAUCAGCCACACUGGGACUGAGACACGGCCCAGACUCCUACGGGAGGCAGCAGUGGGGAAUAUUGGACAAUGGGCGCAAGCCUGAUCCAGCAAUGCCGCGUGAGUGAUGAAGGCCCUAGGGUUGUAAAGCUCUUUUACCCGGGAAGAUAAUGACUGUACCGGGAGAAUAAGCCCCGGCUAACUCCGUG